AAACCAAACAAUCCCAACACACUUAGCUAACAAGAGAUGUUCCAACACAAUCAGCGGCGACGACCGGCGGACGGCGGCUGCGGCUGGUGGCUGGCGAAGGUGACCGGCGACGACGGCGGAAGCGGCGGGUACUGGCAGGUGCGUCUCCUCAAACCGAGACCAACGGCGGCGACGGCGGCUCGAUCGGAGGUCGGAGGGAGGAGAUCCGGCCGAAAAAAGGUUGGAAUCCCCUGCGACCAACGGUGGCGACCGGCGACCGGAGUUGGACCAGAAGGCUCGCGGCGACGUUCCUGAGGGACCUGUGGUGUUAGUUUGGAGAGAAAACCACGAGGUCGAAGUCGGAACUUGCCCACGCCUCACGACUUCAAUCCACCAAGCUGAACAAAUCUCCUCGCCCUCGCCGCUCGCCACGCCGCUCGCCGCUCGCCGCCAACGAACAGAUCCAGCCUCUCGUCGUCGCUCGCCGCUGCUCGCCCUCGCCACCGGUCGCCCUCGCCGCCAACGAACAGAUCCAGCCUCCCGUCGCCGCUCGCCACCGGUCGCCCUCGCUGCCGGUCGCUCUCGCCACUGGUCUGCUCGUCCGUUCAGGAAAAAAGAAAAAAGAAAAAAUUGAGUUGUAUCAGCAGCAACUACAAAUACCAGAGCUUUCCAGGGAUGACUCAGAUGCAUACUUUACAAACAAUAAACAAAGUAGUACAGUUUGUGGCUUGCUUGAGAAUAAUGUUAUGAAGAGCUUUGCUGCUGAUAAGGAAAGGGCUAACAAUGAUGCAAAGAUCAAAGUAGUGGUGCGAAAGAGACCACUAAACAAAAAAGAAUUGAUGAAGAAUGAGGAAGACAUAAUAGAAACUCUACCAACUCAUUAAUAGUUAUGAGACAAAGCUUAAUUAAGGUUUGUGCACCCGAAAAUUUUUGAUUGUGUUCUAGUAGUUUCUCUUUGUGCCUUGUGGUUCUUAUCUUGUAAGUAUAAGAAUUGGAAAGAUGUGAAUGAUAUUGAAAACUGCUUUUUAUAGUCUGCUCUUUUCAUUCCUUUAAGACUUGUGAUGCUAUUGCAUUUUGUGGAUUUGAUUACAA